rnacentral:rRNA from 1 species
UACGGGGGGGGUAAGCGUUGUUCGGAAUUACUGGGCGUAAAGGGCGUCGUAGGCGGCCAACUAAGUCAGACGUGAAAUCCCUCAGCUUAACUGGGGAACUGCGUCUGAUACUGGAUGGCUUGGAUUCGGGAGAGGAAUGCGGAAUUCCAGGUGUAGCGGUGAAAUGACGUAGAUAUCUGGAGGAACACCGGUGGCGAAGGCGGCAUUCUGGACCGAUAUUGACGCUGAGGAGCGAAAGCCAGGGGAGCAAACGGG